AAACCAUGCAUCGGCCAUUUUCUGAUUAACUCCUAGAAUCGCUCCCAUGCUUCAUAUAAUGUUUCGUCCUCAGAUUGCCAAAAGGACGUAAUAUUGUUCCUACAUUU
rnacentral:snoRNA from 1 species